ensembl:miRNA
ACCACCUGGGGAUCUCUUUAAACUGCAGAUUCUAGUUCAGGAGAUCUGGGGUGGGACCUGAGAUUCUGCACUUCUAACAAGUUCCCACGUGAUGCCAGU